UACGUAGGGUGCGAGCGUUAAUCGGAUUUACUGGGCGUAAAGCGUGCGCAGGCGGCCCGUUAAGACAGGUGUGAAAUCCCUGGGCUCAACCUAGGAAUUGCGCUUGUGACUGGCGGGCUCGAGUACGGUAGAGGGGGGUGGAAUUCCUGGUGUAGCAGUGAAAUGCGUAGAGAUCAGGAGGAACACCGAUGGCGAAGGCAGCCAUCUGGCUGGUAACUGACGCUGAGGUGCGAGAGCGUGGGGAGCAAACAGG
rnacentral:rRNA from 1 species